UAGAAGACAUAGUCUGUUUUGAAAUAUGUUGGUUUUCCACGGCUGUAAACAGCAGCCUCCCAAGUAGUGCCUACAGCCUGUUGCUGGUCAUGGUUGCCCCUAGGGAUGUUGGAGAUAACC
ensembl:snoRNA SNORA70 Small nucleolar RNA SNORA70